rnacentral:rRNA from 1 species
GAGGGGGCAAGCGUUGUCCGGAAUCACUGGGCGUAAAGGGCGCGUAGGCGGCAUGCCAAGCGUGUGGUGAAAGCCCGGGGCUCAACCCCGGGUCGGCCGUGCGGACUGGCGUGCUCGAGCACUGUAGGGGCGGGUGGAAUUCCGGGUGUAGCGGUGGAAUGCGUAGAGAUCGGGAAGAACACCGAUGGCGAAGGCAGUCGGCUGGGCCGUUGCUGACACUGAGGCGCGACAGCGUGGGGAGCAAACAGG